AAGGGUUAUAGCUCUUCUAGAAUUUGUCUAGCAGGUUUUCUGGCCUUUGUUGGAAACCAGCCCCC